GAGAGCCGGAUGCAGGGAAACUCGCACGUCCGGUUCGGCGAGAGGCGCGAAGAAACCGGCCACCGCGAGGUGGCACGGCGCUUCGCGCCUACUCUAC
rfam:Sphingopyxis witflariensis strain DSM 14551 NODE_11_length_145395_cov_46.7529, whole genome shotgun sequence.